GGGGAAAAAAACAAAGACAAGAAGUUAGAAUCACAUGAAAGUGAGGAUGAACAUUAUUUGGAGGAACAUAAAACAGAAUGCGAGUCAAAAGAUAAAAGAGAUUUACCCACAGACAUCGUUCCAUAUCCUGAUUCAGAUCUGAAGCGAAGAGAGGAAACUACAGUAGCAAAUGAAAAUUGUGAUUGUCCCUCAGUUCAGCCAUCAGUUUGGAGAAUACCAGGCAUACGGAAAGAUGAUGAAUUCUUCCAUUUUAUCAUUGUUUGUUUUGCCAUUGGAAUAUAUUUAGUUUGCUAUUACAAAUAUAAUGGUAAGUCAAAACUAGAAUGCAUUGAUCCUAUGGUGAUAAGAAAAGGAACAAAAACUAAUAUAUACUUUUUUUUUCAGACUGGACAGUUUCCCUUGGUAUUAGCUUGA
rnacentral:lncRNA from 1 species